CGAAUAUUCCAGCCGAAUUUCGAUUUGAAAAUGGGGGAACCAUGUAAUUGGGGUGAAUUUCAUGAUUCUGUAAGGAUCGUGGAUAGGGCGACCUGUGACAAGGCCCGAAUCCGUCAGCUAACCUCGUAGGCUGUGCACAGGAACCAG
rnacentral:sRNA from 2 species